rnacentral:rRNA from 1 species
GAUGAACGCUGGCGGCGUGCCUAAUACAUGCAAGUCGAGCGAAUGGAUUAAGAGCUUGCUCUUAUGAAGUUAGCGGCGGACGGGUGAGUAACACGUGGGUAACCUGCCCAUAAGACUGGGAUAACUCCGGGAAACCGGGGCUAAUACCGGAUAACAUUUUGAACUGCAUGGUUCGAAAUUGAAAGGCGGCUUCGGCUGUCACUUAUGGAUGGACCCGCGUCGCAUUAGCUAGUUGGUGAGGUAACGGGUCACCAAGGCAACGAUGCGUAGCCGACCUGAGAGGGUGAUCGGCCAAACUGGGCCUGAGACACGGCCCAGACUCCUACGGGAGGCAGCAGUAGGGAAUCUUCCGCAAUGGACGAAAGUCUGACGGAGCAACGCCGCGUGAGUGAUGAAGGCUUUCGGGUCGUAAAACUCUGUUGUUAGGGAAGAACAAGUGCUAGUUGAAUAAGCUGGCACCUUGACGGUACCUAACCAGAAAGCCACGGCUAACUACGUGCCAGCCGCCGCCGUAA